UACGAAGGGGGCUAGCGUUGUUCGGAAUUACUGGGCGUAAAGCGCGUGUAGGCGGGUCUUUAAGUCAGGGGUGAAAUGCCAAGGCUCAACCUUGGAACUGCCUUUGAUACUGGAGACCUUGAGUCCGGGAGAGGUGAGUGGAAUUGCGAGUGUAGAGGUGAAAUUCGUAGAUAUUCGCAAGAACACCAGUGGCGAAGGCGGCUCACUGGCCCGAUACUGACGCUGAGGCACGAAAGCGUGGGGAGCAAACAGG
rnacentral:rRNA from 1 species